rnacentral:rRNA from 1 species
CUAAAGCCACUUGCUUACACCAAGUAAAUGUCCGUUCAACCCAGACCAUUCUGAGCUAAAAAUUUAGCCCAUGUAACCCCAAUGCCCCCUCAACCUAUUAACCCCCAAACAAAACAUUCUACCAUUUUAGUACAGGAGAUCAAAAAAUUACUAGGCGCUUCAAAUAUAGUACCGAAAGGGAAAAAUGAAAUAAAAAUGAAAUAAAUCUUAAGCCCAACAUAGCAGAGAUUUCCCCCCGUACCUUUUGCAUCAUGGUCUAGCCAGUUCCCCCAAGCAAAAAGAAAUUUCAGUUUGACACCCCGAAACUAAGUGAGCUACUUCAGAACAGCCUUAAGGGCCAACCCGUCUCUGUCGCAAUAGAGUGGGAAGAUUCUCAAGUAGAGGUGACAAGCCUACCGAACUUAGAGAUAGCUGGUUACUUGAGAAAAGAGUAUUAGCUCUGCCUUAAGCUACAGAAUGCAAUCUAACAAAGUGCCUAGCUUAAGAGUUAUUCAAGUAAGGCACAGCUUACUUGAAACAGGAUACAACCUUAAAUAAUGGGUAAACGUUAAACCUAUUGCCUAAGUAGGCCUAAAAGCAGCCACCUUUAAAAAAGCGUCAAAGCUUAGUCACUCCACCCCUCAAAUUCCUAUUUAACAUCUGAACCCUUUACCCCUACCAAGUAAUUUUAUACUUCUAUAAAAGAUAUAAUGCUAGAACUAGUAACAAGAAAAUGCUUUCUCCUAAAUGUGAGCAUAAACCAGGAUGGACUCCCCACUGGUAGUUAACGUAAAUGCACCUUUUAUAGCAACACUAACAAGAAAACCCUAUUAACUUAAACGUUAACCUAACACUAGAACAUUUCAGGAAAGAUUAAAAGAGAAAGAAGGAACUCGGCAAAUUUUAGCCCCGCCUGUUUACCAAAAACAUCGCCUCUUGAAAAUAUAAGAGGUCCAGCCUGCCCAGUGACGAAGUUCAACGGCCGCGGUACCCUAACCGUGCGAAGGUAGCAUAAUCACUUGUUCUUUAAAUAGGGACUAGUAUCAAUGGCAUCACGAGGGCUGCACUGUCUCCUUUCUCCAAUCAGUGAAACUGAUCUCCCCGUGAAGAAGCGGGGAUUUUGAUAUAAGACGAGAAGACCCCAUGGAGCUUAAAGCAACGAAUUUACCUUACUCGUAUUUCUACUAAUUUCAAAAGCCUAAAUUCUAGCUUUUGGUUGGGGGGACCGCGGAGUAUAACCCAACCUCCGCAACUAACGGGCUUUGCCCUAAUCUAUGAGCCACACCUCUAAGAAUCAAUAAAUUGAUGCCUUUGACCCGAAAACUCGAUCAAUGGACCAAGUUACCCUGGGGAUAACAGCGCGAUCUACUUUGAGAGCCCCUAUCGACAAGUAGGCUUACGACCUCGAUGUUGGAUCAGGGUAUCCCGGUGGUGCA